CUUGUCCUGCAGUACUGAGGGAGAGCGGGCAGCCCAUAAGACCUUGGCAGCGUUACUGGACCCGUGUGUGUGUAGCGUGUGUGUUGUGUGUUUUUUUGCUGUGGACAUCGGACUGUAUGUUGAUUUAGCUACUCCUCUUCUGUCCAUGUGGAUUGCUUCAGAGCAAGAACAGCAGCAACAUGGGAUCAGUAAUGUACUGACUGUCCUACCUCCUGGAUCCAAGUCCCUGCCAUAUACUUGCUACUGGAAGAUGGGUGACAGGGUCUACUUGACAUACAUAGGAGCGACCACGCAAAAACCGUGACUUGACGCAGCUAAGAGUAUCCUGCAGGGGGCUUGUUGUUACAGUAAGCAGCUGUUUCUGCUGAGGCUGGAGGAGGCUGUUCUGACAGGCCUCUAUACCCCUGCACUCAAUGCAUGGAGGAUCCUGAAGGCCACCAGGGGGACCCUGCUGCUCCAGCUGGUCUAGGGCUGUUUGAGGAGCCACUAUUUUUUAACAGUUUGUUUCAGGCCUGGACCCUGUCGUCAGUGAGGAUAAGAUCUUUCCUAAGGGAGACUGGAAGUGUAAAGCUGGGACAUCUGCUGAUGCUGGCUGGGAUCCUGCAACAGCGUAUCAACAUCAGACCCAGGGUUGUGGAAUCAGAUCACAGAGAAGGUGUGUGCAUUGCUUCCAGAGCAUCUGAGGACCUUUAUGAUGGAGAACUGUGCACUGGGUGGUCAGUCAGAAGAAGAUGUGGAAUACGUUUUUUCCAGGACUGGAUGUCUCUCCCAGUGUGGGGGAGCGGCAGGAGGAGGGGUGCCACCUCCUUUCUUUCAAAACCCCACAGCUUGAUGAGUUUGAGGGCUUGAGAAAAAGGAUGAUUUAUAUCCUGUGUGUGACGGUGAGGCACUUUCAGAAUAACAGCGUCAAAAGUGGUUAAAGUUGAUUUUAAUGUAACAUGCAACAAUGAUUAAAACUGAUUACAAAACA